AGUGAACGCUGGCGGUAGGCCUAACACAUGCAAGUCGAACGGCAGCACAGUAAGGGCUUGCUCUUACGGGUGGCGAGUGGCGGGCGGGUGAGGAAUACAUCGGAAUCUACUUUUUCGUGGGGGAUAACGUAGGGAAACUUACGCUAAUACCGCAUACGACCUACGGGUGAAAGCAGGGGAUCUUCGGACCUUGCGCGAUUGAAUGAGCCGAUGUCGGAUUAGCUAGUUGGCGGGGUAAAGGCCCACCAAGGCGACGAUCCGUAGCUGGUCUGAGAGGAUGAUCAGCCACACUGGAACUGAGACACGGUCCAGACUCCUACGGGAGGCAGCAGUGGGGAAUAUUGGACAAUGGGCGCAAGCCUGAUCCAGCCAUACCGCGUGGGUGAAGAAGGCCUUCGGGUUGUAAAGCCCUUUUGUUGGGAAAGAAAAGCAGCAGGUUAAUACCCCACUGUUCUGACGGUACCCAAAGAAUAAGCACCGGCUAACUUCGUG
rnacentral:rRNA from 1 species